rnacentral:lncRNA from 1 species
UGCGACGUUCCUGCGACGUCUCUCUCUCGCUUGCGACCCAUUUGCCUUCUCUUUCCCCCUUUCCUUCGCGGGCCCCUCCCUACCUACUUUUUCCUCUCUUCCUCUCUCUCUCUUCCAUCAUCUCUUGCCCCUUUCCUUUUCCUUUUUUUUUAUUCGUCCCGUCUUUUAUGUUUUGCAAAUCUCGAGUGAACGAGCGCGCUCGUGUACACUCGCGAGAAAGCGACGUGAAUUUGUACGCCGACCAUGGGUUCACGCCCAAACAAGUAUGGCGCGGACGGACAGUCGACGGUCACGAUAAAUUUUGGUGACCAGACAAACUAGAAUAGUCCUUUUUAUCUAGUGGAAAAA